GAUGAACGCUGGCGGCGUGCCUAAUACAUGCAAGUCGAGCGAACAGACGAGGAGCUUGCUCCUCUGACGUUAGCGGCGGACGGGUGAGUAACACGUGGAUAACCUACCUAUAAGACUGGGAUAACUUCGGGAAACCGGAGCUAAUACCGGAUAAUAUAUUGAACCGCAUGGUUCAAUAGUUAAAGACGGUUUUGCUGUCACUUAGAGAUGGAUCCGCGCCGCAUUAGCUAGUUGGUAAGGUAACGGCUUACCAAGGCGACGAUGCGUAGCCGACCUGAGAGGGUGAUCAGCCACACUGGAACUGAGACACGGUCCAGACUCCUACGGGAGGCAGCAGUAGGGAAUCUUCCGCAAUGGGCGAAAGCCUGACGGAGCAACGCCGCGUGAGUGAUGAAGGUCUUCGGAUCGUAAAACUCUGUUAUUAGGGAAGAACAAAUGUGUAAGUAACUAUGCACGUCUUGACGGUACCUAAUCAGAAAGCCACGGCUAACUACGUG
rnacentral:rRNA from 1 species